rnacentral:rRNA from 1 species
UACAGAGGGGGCAAGCGUUGUUCGGAAUUACUGGGCGUAAAGGGCGCGUAGGCGGCCUGUUAAGUCGAACGUGAAAUCCCUGGGCUCAACCCAGGAACUGCGUCCGAUACUGGCAGGCUUGAAUUCGGGAGAGGGAUGCGGAAUUCCAGGUGUAGCGGUGAAAUGCGUAGAUAUCUGGAGGAACACCGGUGGCGAAGGCGGCAUCCUGGACCGACAUUGACGCUGAGGCGCGAAAGCCAGGGGAGCAAACGGG